AACCAGCAGCUCAGACGCCAGCAGCGGACACACAACAGACAACCGACACACAGCUGAUCUGCGGCGGGACGACAGUCAGUGAGUCCAGAGAGUUCGGGGAUCUCACCCCGAUGCACCUCCCUCCAUCGGGGUGAGACUUGUGUGUUGAGCCUUCAAAUGUCUUAACUUCUUUCUCCUCUUUUCGUAUUGUUUUUUUUUUGCAUCGCUUCGGAGGUGGAGACCCGUCAGGACGAGCGCGUCGCCUCCCCAGGAGCGCGCACAUUGGCACAGGCUGGAACAAAACAGAGAGACGCAGCUCAGUGCAGCGCAGGCAGCUUUCCGUUUUAAAAGCAGCACGGGAGGCAGGAGAGUUUCGGAGUGCGCGCGGGGGAAGCGGUGCAAGUGUCGGCUGCACCAGGGGGACCGACGCCUUCUUCUGUGAAUAAAAAAACACCCCACCGGGAUACCGGGACGAACACUUGGAUAUGGCGGGUGUGAAGGCGAUCGACCUUCUCCUUGGAGUUGUUGUAGUUUUGCAGUGCGUGGGGAACGUCCGAGCCGAGAUCACAGCCAGGACGCAGACGGCGACUCCGGCUACGAGCAGCAGCAGUCCAAUGGCGAUGCCAGUGUACACAGCAUCUAAACAGAAGGGAGGUGGAUGUAAUUCUUGCAAAGACGAGGGGCUUCAAUGAACUGCAGAGACAUUGAUGCAAGGAUACAGAAAACAGAUUGAGGACAGUCGGGGACACCGUCGCAGCGCAGUAUGGACGGGAGGCACUGAAAGUCUGAACACUGAUAAAACCCAAUGGGACAGAGGAGCUGAGGAGGAAUAGUCCCAGGUACCAAGGCCGGACAGUGCUCUUCAUCGGACUGAUCAGCACAGUCGGGCUCUUUGUCACACCUCCAGCUCUGUGGGAUGCACUGGAAGGAGUAGGCACACUGGAACUGGUCCGUUCUGCAGGUCGGAGGCUGGGGAGUCACUGGUCCUGUUGGGACACAUAAAUACAGAUAAACACAGUGAGAUGAGCAAUCUGUUCUUAUUGAGUUUAGCUCACACGCAGCGAGAAUCCUGGAGUGAGGAAUCUCAGAGGAAUGUUUUGAGACAGUGUUGAAAACAGAGAGGUUUGCUAAUGGCUACAGUUCAGAGAGGGAGAUCAGGGGUGGAGGGAGGAAACACAGUAAAAAACACAUAGUAAAUGUAACUGCUUUCCCCCCAUACUGCCCUCCAUCAUGUCCCUCAAUGCCGAUCCAGGCUCCAUUAUAUACUGUAUAUGGACCUGCAGGGCAACAGGCUCCAUUAACUCACUACACACUUCAGGAAGGUCCCCACAAUUUAUAUGGAAACAAAGAGCGUGGAUGAUGGAGAACAGAAAAUUGGAGAAAAACAAGCAUGAAAAAUGUGCUGGCACGGCCGAACAUGAGGAAAAACAAAAAAAGUAAUUGGAAGUGUAUAAGGGCACAACGACCCCAGGGAGGAAGAGAGAAAUAUUAAAUAAUAGCUUUACCUACAAACCCACACUCUGGAGUGAAGGAGACGUCAUCCAGGGCGAUGUCCGUCCACUUGUCUCCACCCACCUCUGCCUGGAAGGUCACUCUGAAAGGUGCCGAGUUGGACAGGAGGACGUUGGCGUAUGUCCACUGGCCGCCAUGGUUUCCAGUGGUCGCCCACAUCAACAGACUGAUACCGCUGGGUCCCACAGUGAAGACCUAGAGGUGCAGAGGGAACAUCAACUUGAGGGACACUUUCAUUCCUUCCUGUGGGUAUCAGGUGAUUGACGGUGGGCGACGUGGAACAUAGCGAGAGGCUUGGAGAAAAACAGGACAGACAUUUCUGACGAAGACAAAAUUAAGCCUUCAGGUUGACUUUGAUGGAUCGUCUGGCAGCGAAUGACAAAGAAAGACAAACAUGUUUGGAAGCUUGAUGCCCGAGGAAAAAAAAACGAAAAAAAACCCCAACUUUGAAUAGUUUAUGGAAAUGCAGCAGAGACGAGAUCACCUUCAGCGUUCCCAUCUUGUCUGAGCCGUGCAUGAAGAACCAGAAGCGCAGGUGACACAGGCCGACGCUGCCCGGAAACGGACGCCUCGUCGUCAGCUUGGCAAUGUCACCCUCCCUCUGAGUGGCUGAGUUCACAUACAGGAAGUUCCCUCCACCACCUUUGGAGAUAAACACAGAUAAAGACGCUUCACAUCUGCGUUACAUGCAGGGAAAAGAAAAUACCCACAGCUAAAUCCUGCUCAACCAAGCAAUUUCUGCUUUGCUGCUGGAAAAGAAAUCCAAUAACUUUCUUGUGUUGAUUCCAAUACACAAUAUUUUGACAGAAGAAAGCGUUUGUGCUGUUGUGAAACGUUGCAGCCAGAAGCCAGAAGCUCCACAGAUCUUCGGCGCGGCUGGGGCUGGAGGAUGAGACGGCAUGUGAGCCACGCCAGAACAAAGUGCAAGUUUUCCACAUGAGUUAAAGGGGAUUUGAGCACAAUUCCGAGCACGCAGCAAACUGUGCUCGCACCCAUAACACUGGAUUCUUCCUCUGACUCAAAGAGAUGAAUAAUCCAAAUGAAAAGGAAAAAUACCCCAAAAAUUCACAUUGGAAAAUGUUAUUUUCCUGAUAAGGCUUAUGCGUGAUGUCUGCAGGGUCAUGUCUUGUCCUUUUUCAGCUCUCAUGUAUGCGUGUGUACUUUUUGCAAACAAUUCAAAGUAUAGAACAUACACUGUAUUUAAAAUGGACGUAGAUUCUGGUUCUGGAAAUAUAACCCAAUGCUUUCUGUUGAGUAUUUUUGAAUGUUUUCUUUCGAAUGACCGGCAAUAGGCGGUUUCUAUUGAAGUCUAUGAGAUACAAAAACUUGAUUUAUAACGUCAGUAAACAUUUUCUAAAGGAA